rnacentral:snRNA from 1 species
AGAUGGUCUUGGUUCUCAUUGUAGGAUCAUUUCCUCUGUCAAGGGUAUACGAGUAGCUGCGCUCCUCUGCUAGAACCUCCAAACAAGCUCUCAAGGUCCAUUUUUUGUAAUUUGUAUUAAAACUGCUAAGAGAAGGGAGAUAUUGACCUAGGCCUUUCAGAUUACCUGAACCUGACUCUUCACU